rnacentral:rRNA from 1 species
ACGAACGCUGGCGGCGUGCUUAACACAUGCAAGUCGAGCGGUAAGGCCUUUCGGGGUACACGAGCGGCGAACGGGUGAGUAACACGUGGGUGAUCUGCCCUGCACUUCGGGAUAAGCCUGGGAAACUGGGUCUGAUACCGGAUAUGACCUCCUAUCGCAUGGUGGGUGGUGGAAAGAUUUAUCGGUGCAGGAUGGGCCCGCGGCCUAUCAGCUUGUUGGUGGGGUAAUGGCCUACCAAGGCGACGACGGGUAGCCGACCUGAGAGGGUGACCGGCCACACUGGGACUGAGACACGGCCCAGACUCCUACGGGAGGCAGCAGUGGGGAAUAUUGCACAAUGGGCGAAAGCCUGAUGCAGCGACGCCGCGUGAGGGAUGACGGCCUUCGGGUUGUAAACCUCUUUCAGCAGGGACGAAGCGCAAGUGACGGUACCUGCAGAAGAAGCACCGGCUAACUACGUG